UACAGAGGUCUCAAGCGUUGUUCGGAUUCAUUGGGCGUAAAGGGCGCGUAGGCUGCGGGGCAAGUCGGGUGUGAAAUCUCAGAGCUCAACUCUGAAACUGCACUCGAUACUGCUUUGCUUGAGGACUGGAGAGGAGAUUGGAAUUCACGGUGUAGCAGUGAAAUGUGUAGAGAUCGGGAGGAACACCGGUGGCGAAGGCGGGUCUCUGGGCAAUUCCUGACGCUGAGGCGCGAAAGCGUGGGGAGCAAACGGG
rnacentral:rRNA from 1 species